UGCCAGCCAUCGCGGUUAUACAAAUUAUUGAAAUAAAUUUUAUUGAUAUUAAAUUUAAUUGUUUUAUUAAAAUUAAUUUAAAGUUUAAUAAUAAAAGUGAAAUUUUUUAUUUUUAUUAAUUUAAUUAAAUAAAAAUUGAUUUUUGAAAUUUAAUUUAUAAACUAGGAUUAGAUACCCUAUUAUUUUAAAUGUAAAAUUAAUAUUAAGGGAUUAGUAGUUAUGAUCUUUAAAUUUAAAAAAUUUGGCGGUAUUUUAGUCUAUUUAGAGGAAUCUGUUCUGUAAUUGAUAGUUCACGAUAAAUUUUACUUAAUUUAUUAAUUAAUAUAUCGUCGUUAGCAAAAUAUUUUUUAAGAAUAAAAAAUUUUUAUAAAUUUAAUUAAAUUUUAUUUCAGAUCAAGAUGUUGUUUAUGAUUAUGAAGAAAUGGAUUACAAUAAAUUAAUUUAUAUUAUGAAUAAUUUAUAUAAAGAUAAAUUUGAAGGUGGAUUUAAUAGUAAUUUUUAAUAUAUUUUAAAAAUGAUUUAAGCACUAAAAUAUGCACAUAUCGCCCGUCGCUCUUAUUUAUUAAAUAAGAUAAGUCGUAACAAAGUAGAUGUACUGGAAAGUGUAUCUAGAAUG
rnacentral:rRNA from 1 species